rnacentral:rRNA from 1 species
GAUCCUGACUCAGGAUGAACGCUAGCGACAGGCUUAACACAUGCAAGUCGAGGGGCAGCGAGGAAGCGGCAACACUUCUGUCGGCGACCGGCGCACGGGUGAGUAACGCGUAUGCAACCUGCCCUUCACAGGGGGAUAACCGGGAGAAAUUCCGACUAAUACCGCAUACGUCCUCCGGGGGCGAUCCUUGGGGGAGUGAAAGAAUUAUCGGUGAAGGAUGGGCAUGCGUGAUAUUAGGUAGUUGGCGGGG